UAGCUCAAAUGGUAGAGCGCUCGCUUUGCAUGCGAGAGGUACGGGGUGCGAUACCCCG
rnacentral:tRNA from 1 species